UCAGCUCUUCAUUGAUGUGCCCGAAUAACCUUGUUGAUAUGUCCAUUGAUGUGUACGAACAACCUUGAAGAUAUGUCUUUUGAUGUGCACGAGUAGCCUUUGAUAGUUGCCUUAAUGCUUGAGCUGAAUGAAGCAUGAUUCAGUUAGUGUAGUUAAAGCUUGAAUUAAAGCUUCCUUGAAGAUGUCGUAUGCAUGUAUAGCAAAUGAAUGGGAAAUGGAGCACCCGAAUGGUCAUUAGUGUGAACAAUCGGUUAUGAAGAGACUUUGAGUGUGAACAGCAAGCACUGAAUUGUCACUUGGGUGUUGACUGAUCAGCUCACAAUUGUUGGUUCUUUGAUUCAUGAAAAGUCAGCUGAAUGAUGCACCUAGCUUCUCCCAAGAUUCAUGCACAAUCGGGUGCAUUGCUCUUCAUUAAAUAACUUCAAUGUAUCAGCAAGAUACAUGAAUGCAUAUCCAGCCGCAUAAAUGAAUGUCCAGCCACCUAUUUAAGCAACCUGUUAAGACACAUUAAACACUUGGUUAAAGCAUCAACAAGACAAAAUAAACACACAAAUAAAUAUGUAAUGGACUAAGACACAUUUAAGAAAUUUGACUUGCUAGCAUAUGUCAAAUCUGUCCGAAAUUGAACAUACUUAAUGGUCAAACAAUACAUUAUUUUAAUUUGUAAUAUACUAAGACAAAAC
rnacentral:lncRNA from 1 species